UGGGGGCUCGGAAGGGGAUCGCGGCGGGAGGGGCGCACGCUAGAAGUCAUUAGCCUUAAGAACGUUUAUUUAAAAAAAAAAUCUCCUCCCCCACCCCUUUUGUCCCUCUUUCGCGAGCUUUCUCCACGCUCCUCUCUAAAGUACCCAAAGUGCCCCCGCCCUCGCGCCCCACCCCGCCUCUAGGCCGGGGGCAGCGCCUGGGCCGAGGACCCGGGGCUAGGGGCGCAGCGUGAGAACCCGCUCCCGGCGCGCGCCCCGCCCCUUGCGCACACUCGGGAAGUUUAAAGAGCCGGUUCGACCCGCUUUCGAUCUCGCUCCCGGUUGGCCAGCAGUGUCGCUCGGGUUCGCAGGGCAAACGCGCCCGCACACUCGUCGGGCGCGACCCCGGCCCCUCCCGGGCGCGCUUCCCCUCCCCCUUGGCGCGGGGGGCUUCCGGAAAGUACGCGGGAACAUCGCGGGCGCCCCUCCCCCGGCACCACACCCAGCCCCCAACGCUUGCUCGUAAUGGGGCGCAGCUAUCGGGGUCCACGGAAACUCCAGCGGGCGCCACGGCGCCCCCUCCGCGCCCCGAGAGCCACGAGGCGCUCGCACGUCUACAGUGCACAGCUGCCUUAGGAAGGGGGUUGGGAACGGCGACAAAAAGGAUCUUGUUUUCGAAAGUCUCGAUCAGGUCUGGAGGAGGAACUAGGGGAAAGAGGAAGAAGCCGGCCUGCUUCGGCCGGAGAAUCGGGGCUUCCAGGCUGGAAGGGCGACGAUCGGCGCGCGCUGCUCCCCAAACUCCAGGCCACUCCAGCCAUCGAGGCUGAGGGGUGCUUCCCGACCGCCCGUCCCUGGUUCCCGCGAGGGACCCACGGGAACUCGGCCGGCAUCUCCAAAGACCCAGGGGCCGCCAACUCGCAGAAAACACGCGCGUUGGGAAACGAGAGGGAGCCAGAAAUAAAAAGCAGCGUUCAAGUCACCACCGUCUGCGGCCCCUCCGCGGCGGUGGGCUCUCACGUCCCCACCCGCAGGCUCCCGCGCCGGCGGAAUUCAAUCAAUAAACCCCGAACCCACGGCCGCGCGUUUUAGGACUUUGAAGGUUCAACCAGCUCCGCUCGGUUCUCGAGCCCCCAGCACCCGCGGCGCACACUAACCUGAUCACCGUGGAGGCGGGAUCUGCGGCCUGGCGGAAGAACGGCAGCAGCUUCAACCAAUCGUCGCCGAGAGUGUCCGCACAACAGCCAGUGGUGGUGGCGGCGGGUGGGGAGGAAGGGUCCAAUGGGCGGGCUGCGCAGCCGGCCUGGGAGGCUCAGCCAUUUGGUUGUGGUGCCGGAGACUGAGCCCUUUAGAUUUUUGAGGCGGCCGAGAAGCGCGGCGGUGGCGGCGGCAGCGGCUCCGUCGGCUGAGCGCGGGGGGUGGGCGGAAUGGCAGGAGAAGGGAAGGUGACGGUCUAGAGGGCCGAGCUGCCCGGCCUCGGCGUUUGGCUGGGGGCGGGCCCGCAGGUGCGUUCCCGCUGGGGAGGGGCGCGGCCGGAGGGGUCGGGUAGGUCCCCGCCGGGCGAGGCUCGUGGGCCGCGGGCCGGGCUGCGGAAGGCGGCGGCGGGGGCCGCGGCGGGUGAUAAGGGGCCCUGGCAGUGGGGGCGGGGCCUAGAAAGGGGAGGCAGCGGAGGAGACUAGGUCGGGGGGUGGGGGGGAUCGCGCCAGGAGAACGCCGCUGUCUCCCGCCUCCGCGACGACCCCCGCCACCCCCCAGGGGCAUCCGAGCCCGGCCUCCACCGUCGCCGCCUCCAGAAUAAGUAAAUAAAAACGAGGUGCUUCCACCUUUGGGUAACUUAGCGCGGCCUUGCCCCACGGAGAGGGCAUUUCAUUUUGCUGUCUUUUUUUUUUUUUUUUUGGCCACUUUGCGAGGAGCGAUUGCCCACGGGCACCCAGGAUCGCAUUUAGGCGAUACAGGAAGAACUGGACUAAGAACUGUUGCUGAAUGUAGAAUCUGAAAAUGGAAAAGAAAAAUGCUAUACCAAUAACGCCCGUUUUCCCCACCAUGUAGACCUAGUGAAGGAACGUCAGAGUUUAUUCUAAUUAUCCACCUGAGUCAUUAGGUUCGAUCGGAGCUGCCAGGGAGACUAGUGGCUCUAGUAUGUUCAGGUUUUUUGGUUUGCUUUUUUUUUUUUUUAAUCACAAUAUAUUCUUUAAAAAAAAACCUUAAAGCCCUGUUUCCUCUGGUUACCAACUUAUGGCUGGCUAAUCUAGGACCUUGUCAUGUCAUCAGUGGGCUGCCUGUGGCUGUUAAUAAAUCACUGGGAUGGUUGUCAAA